UACGUAGGUGGCGAGCGUUGUCCGGAUUUACUGGGCGUAAAGAGCGCGCAGGCGGCUGGUCAAGUCCGAUGUGAAAGCUCCCGGCUUAACUGGGAAAUUGCAUCGAAACUGAUCGGCUGGAAGGUGGGAGAGGGUAGCGGAAUUCCAGGUGUAGCGGUGAAAUGCGUAGAUAUCUGGAGGAACACCGGUGGCGAAGGCGGCAUCCUGGACCGGCAUUGACGCUGAGAGCGAAAGCCAGGGGGAGCAAACGGG
rnacentral:rRNA from 1 species